GACGAACGCUGGCGGCGUGCUUAACACAUGCAAGUCGAACGGAAAGGCCCUGCUUUUGUGGGGUGCUCGAGUGGCGAACGGGUGAGUAACACGUGAGUAACCUGCCCUUGACUUUGGGAUAACUUCAGGAAACUGGGGCUAAUACCGGAUAGGAGCUCCUGCUGCAUGGUGGGGGUUGGAAAGUUUCGGCGGUUGGGGAUGGACUCGCGGCUUAUCAGCUUGUUGGUGGGGUAGUGGCUUACCAAGGCUUUGACGGGUAGCCGGCCUGAGAGGGUGACCGGGCAGACGGGGGGUGAGGCACCGCCGAGAGACCGAGGGGGGGCGGGAGUGGGGAGUAGGGCAGACGGGGGGGAUGCCUGAGGCAGCGACGCCGCGUGCGGGAUGGGGGCCGUCGGGUUGUAAUCCGCGGUCGCCAGGGACGGGGCGUGGGUGAGGGUAAAGGGAAAAGAAGGCCCGUCUAACUACGUGCCAGCAGCAAGGGUAAUACGCGGAGGAGCACACGUCUGACC
rnacentral:rRNA from 1 species